UACAGAGGGGGCAAGCGUUGUUCGGAAUUACUGGGCGUAAAGGGCUCGUAGGCGGCCAACUAAGUUGGACGUGAAAUCCCUCAGCUUAACUGGGGAACUGCGUCCGAUACUGGAUGGCUUGGAUUUGGGAGAGGGAUGCGGAAUUCCAGGUGUAGCGGUGAAAUGCGUAGAUAUCUGGAGGAACACCGGUGGCGAAGGCGGCAUCCUGGACCAAUAUUGACGCUGAGGAGCGAAAGCCAGGGGAGCAAACGGG
rnacentral:rRNA from 1 species